AACGAACGCUGGCGGCAUGCCUAACACAUGCCAGUCGAACGAGACCUUCGGGUCUAGUGGCGCACGGGUGCGUAACGCGUGGGAACCUGCUCUUAGGUUCGGAAUAACUCCCCGAAAGGGGUGCUAAUACCGGAUAAUGUCUUCGGACCAAAGAUUUAUCGCCUUUGGAUGGGCCCGCGUUGGAUUAGCUAGUUGGUAGGGUAAAAGCCUACCAAGGCGACGAUCCAUAGCUGGUCUGAGAGGAUGAUCAGCCACACUGGGACUGAGACACGGCCCAGACUCCUACGGGAGGCAGCAGUGGGGAAUAUUGGACAAUGGGCGAAAGCCUGAUCCAGCAAUGCCGCGUGAGUGAUGAAGGCCUUAGGGUUGUAAAGCUCUUUUACCCGGGAUGAUAAUGACAGUACCGGGAGAAUAAGCUCCGGCUAACUCCGUG
rnacentral:rRNA from 1 species